rnacentral:rRNA from 1 species
CUGGGCCAUAACUGACGCUGAGAAGCGAAAGCAUGGGGAGCGAACAGGAUUAGAUACCCUGGUAGUCCAUGCCGUAAACGUUGGGCGCUAGGUGUGGGACUCAUUCCACGAGUUCCGUGCCGCAGCUAACGCAUUAAGCGCCCCGCCUGGGGAGUACGGCCGCAAGGCUAAAACUCAAAGGAAUUGACGGGGGCCCGCACAAGCGGCGGAGCAUGCGGAUUAAUUCGAUGCAACGCGAAGAACCUUACCAAGGCUUGACAUAUACCGGAAACAUCCAGAGGAUG